GCCGUUUCUGCGAUUACCAAGUUUACUAAUCUCGAAUUUUUCUCGCGCAACGAUCGUUCCUAAGAAGAAAUCGAGUAGAUGGUAGAUAGAAUAAUGGAAAUGU